rnacentral:rRNA from 1 species
UACGAAGGGGGCUAGCGUUGCUCGGAAUCACUGGGCGUAAAGCGCACGUAGGCGGUUAUUCAAGUCAGAGGUGAAAGCCCGGAGCUCAACUCCGGAAUUGCCUUUGAAACUAGAUAACUUGAACGUCGGAGAGGUGAGUGGAAUUCCGAGUGUAGAGGUGAAAUUCGUAGAUAUUCGGAAGAACACCAGUGGCGAAGGCGGCUCACUGGACGACUGUUGACGCUGAGGUGCGAAAGCGUGGGGAGCAAACAGG